rnacentral:rRNA from 1 species
UACGUAGGUGGCAAGCGUUGUCCGGAUUUACUGGGCGUAAAGAGCGCGCAGGCGGCUCGGUAAGUCUGCUGUGAAAUCUCCCGGCUUAACUGGGAGGGGUCAGCGGAUACUGUCGGGCUUGAGGCAGGUAGAGGAAGGUGGAAUUCCCGGUGUAGUGGUGAAAUGCGUAGAUAUCGGGAGGAACACCAGUGGCGAAGGCGGCCUUCUGGGCCUGUCCUGACGCUGAGGCGCGAAAGCGUGGGUAGCAAACAGG